UUAAAAAUAUACAAGUAUUUAAUUUAAUAUAAGAACUCCACCGGUAAUACGCUUACAUACAUAAAGGUAUAGUACUAACUACAAUUGUAAGUUGUACUACCCGUAUGAAGCACAAGUUCAACUACGAACGUUUUAACCGCAACAACUUUAAUAUACGCUAUUGGAGCUGGAAUUACCGCGGCUGCUGGCACCAGACUUGCCCUCCAAUAGGUCCUUGUUAAAGGAUUUAAAGUGUACUCAUUCCAAUUACAGGGCCUCGGAUAUGAGUCCUGUAUUGUUAUUUUUCGUCACUACCUCCCCGAGCUGGGAGUGGGUAAUUUACGCGCCUGCUGCCUUCCUUAGAUGUGGUAGCCGUUUCUCAGGCUCCCUCUCCGGAAUCGAACCCUGAUUCCCCGUUACCCGUUGCAACCAUGGUAGACCUAGAUACGACCAUCAAAAGUUGAUAGGGCAGACAUUUGAAAGAUCUGAAGACCGUCGUGUCGG